GGCCAGACUCCUACGGGAGGCAGCAGUGGGGAAUAUUGGGCAAUGGAGGCAACUCUUACCCAGCAAUGCCGCGUGAAUGAAGAAGGUCUUCGGAUUGUAAAGUUCUUUAAUUGGGGACGAAAAAAAUGACGGUACCCAAGGAAUAAGCCCCGGCUAACUACGUGCCAGCAGCCGCGGUAAUACGUAGGUGGCAAGCGUUAUCCGGAUUUAUUGGGUGUAAAGGGCGUGUAGGCGGGAAAGCAAGUCAGAUGUGAAAACUCAGGGCUCAACCCUGAGCCUGCAUUUGAAACUGUUUUUCUUGAGUGCUGGAGAGGCAAGCGGAAUUCCGUGUGUAGCGGUGAAAUGCGUAGAUAUACGGAGGAACACCAGUGGCGAAGGCGGAUUGCUGGACAGUAACUGACGCUGAGUCGCGAAAGCGUGGGGAGCAAACAGGAUUAGAUACCCCGGUA
rnacentral:rRNA from 1 species